UGCGUAGGCGGUUUGAUAAGUCAGAGGUGAAAGCCCGCAGCUUAACUGUGGAAUUGCCUUUGAUACUGUUGGACUUGAAUCAGGUUGAGGUUGGCGGAAUGUGGCAUGUAGCGGUGAAAUGCAUAGAUAUGCCAUAGAACACCAAUUGCGAAGGCAGCUGACUAGACCUGUAUUGACGCUGAGGCACGAAAGCGUGGGGAGCGAACAGGAUUAGAUACCCUGGUAGUCC
rnacentral:rRNA from 1 species